AAGAUAAUAGUUAAUAAAUAACAACAGGUUGUCGACCUGAAAUAACCUUGCAAAGGUUUAUCUUA
rnacentral:tRNA from 1 species